ensembl:lncRNA
CGAGCCGAUGCCAAUGGAGCCACCACACUCUCCCAAUCGCGCCUGGCUGGCAGGCUGUGCCAUCCACCAGACCGAGGUUUUCAUUAACGGCCGUCCGUAUACAGCCCUGUUGGACUCUGGUAGCGCGGUAAGCCUGGUCCAGUCCUCCAUGUUUCCCCCACGGAUGGGAACCAAAGCCCGCCUAUCCAUCACCUGCAUUCAGGGGACACCCAGAAUGUGCCCACCCGAUGGGUGACCCUCUCCAAGAGGACAGGCACCUGGCCACUGGAAGUGGGCGUGGUCAAGGACUUACCCAUACCCGUCCUGCUGGGAAGAGACUGGCCAGGCUUUGAACAACUGCUCGCCCAAGUCACCCAACCUGCCAGCCCUGCCGGGAACCGCCAGAAGAGGAAGAACUUCAGCCGAGGUCCCCGCCGGUGCCCUGCCCUCUUGGCCUCGGACAGCGCCCGAGAUGGUGAGUCCCCCCCCCCCAAAGUUCUAACCUUUUCUAUGAUGUGUUCCAGCAGAUCAGGGGUGGGGGAAAUUUUGUGAAGGAGCAGCUCGGGGACGAUCGGCUGAAGCACUGCUGGAAGCAGGUGAGAGUGGUUUAGGGGAAAGAGGUCCAACCACCACCACACCCAAUCCCACACUUCGUGGUCCAGAAUGGCCUGCUGUACUGUGUUGCACAGCGGAGAGGGGAGGAGGUGAAGCUGCUGGUAGUCCCACACACGAGGACACAGACAAUCGUCGAGCUCGCCCAUUCCCAUCCUAUGGCUGGCCACCUAGGGGCACAGAACACUGCACAAUGAAUCCGAGACAGGUUCCAUUGGCCCGGCAUGGAGGCGGAGAUCAAACGGUUUUGUCAGGCAUGUCCGGACUGCCAACGGACGUCGCCACAUACUCCUCCUCCAGCUCCGCUAAUCCCGCUGCCCAUCAUCGAGGUGCCCUUUGAGCGGAUAGGAAUGGAUCUAGUAGGGCCGCUGCCAAAGUCCGCCCGGGGACAUGAACACAUAUUAGUCAUCGUGGAUUAUGCGACCCGGUACCCCGAAGCCAUUCCAUUGCGCCACAUCCAAGGCCAUCGCCCAGGAGCUCUUCCUGCUGUGCAGCCGGGUCGGCAUACCCCGGGAGAUACUGACCGACCAGGGCACCCCCUUCAUGUCCCGGAUGAUUGCUGACCUCUGCCGCCUCCUUAAGGUAAAGCAGCUUCGGACCGCCGUCUACCACCCUCAGACCGAUGGACUGAGAUGAGGGAAAGGCUCGACCGCGUCAUGCCCCUCGUCCGGGAACACCUGGCGGCAGCCCAAGGAGCCCAACGUCGUCGAUACGACCGGGCGGCCCAACCACGGGAAUUCCAGCCAGGUGAUUACGUCCUAGUCCUCGUCCCAACAGCCGCAUGCAAAUUUCUCGCCAAAUGGCAAGGCCCGUACAUCAUCACGGAGAAAGUGGGGC